UGUCAUGUUACACAGGCCUACGUACUUCAGGGCUUCCCAGCUGGUGCAGUGGUAAAGAAUCCACCGUCAGUGCAGGAGAUGCAGAGACGCAAGAGACACGGGUUCCAUCUCUGGGUCAGGAAGUCGCCUGGAGUCGGAAAUGGCAACCUACUCCAGCAUUUUUGCCUGGAAAAUUCCAAGAACAGAGGAGCCUUGUGGGCUGCAGUCUGUGGGGUCACAAAGAGCUGGUUGCACACACACACCUGCACAUAAAGCCAUGACCUGGUUAACUUCGCAUUAAAAUUAAGCAACGCAACAAAAUGAUGAUAGUUUCAACUUUGAGAAAACA
ensembl:lncRNA